rnacentral:rRNA from 1 species
CAAUAUAAGUGAUGGCGACCGGCGCACGGGUGAGUAACACGUAUCCAACCUGCCGAUAACUCGGGGAUAGCCUUUCGAAAGAAAGAUUAAUACCCGAUGGUAUAAUAAAACCGCAUGGUUUAAUUAUUAAAGAAUUUCGGUUAUCGAUGGGGAUGCGUUCCAUUAGGCAGUGGUGAGGUAACGGCUCACCAAACCUUCGAUGGAUAGGGGUUCUGAGAGGAAGGUCCCCCACAUUGGAACUGAGACACGGUCCAA